GGGUUCUGAACGUGCUGCGCUCAACGGGAAGCGCUAGGACAUUUCCGUGCCACAAUGCGAAGUGCUUUUCGCUCAUUUGGGAACUUAGGUCUGAUAAAGCAAUGAUUUCCUCAAUUUCGGACACUUUUUAGCACAAUGACGAACAGUAAGAGAGACAAAGCAAAGGGCUUACAACCCUGCCACUCUGAUCCUUUCUGCGCUGAUAGUGGGACACCGUUCAAAAUGCCAGAACCUACCAAAAAAGAUGAAACAUCUAGUGCCCCCCCUGAAGAUAAAGAUGAUGAUGCUGCUGCCAGCACCCCUUCACCACAACCUCCAGCAGAGGAUGCCAGUUCACUCAAGAAACUGUCUAUUGAGCUACCUAGUAAGGACGGCUA
rnacentral:lncRNA from 1 species